GGACUACCGGGGUAUCUAAUCCUGUUUGCUACCCACGCUUUCGCGUCUCAGCGUCAGUUACCGUCCAGAUGGCCGCCUUCGCCACAGGUGUUCCUCCCGAUAUCUACGAAUUUCACCUCUACACCGGGAAUUCCGCCAUCCCCUCCGGCACUCAAGCGACGCAGUAUCGGAUGCACUUCCUUGGUUAAGCCAAGGGCUUUCACGUCCGACUUACGCCGCAGCCUACACGCGCUUUACGCCCAGUAAUUCCGAACAACGCUUGCACCCUCUGUAUUACCGCGGCUGCUGGCAC
rnacentral:rRNA from 1 species